CGUGCUUAACACAUGCAAGUCGAACGAUGACCCGGUGCUUGCACCGGUGAUUAGUGGCGAACGGGUGAGUAACACGUGAGUAACCUGCCCUUAACUCUGGGAUAAGCCUGGGAAACUGGGUCUAAUACCGGAUAUGACUCCUCAUCGCAUGGUGGGGGGUGGAAAGCUUUAUUGUGGUUUUGGAUGGACUCGCGGCCUAUCAGCUUGUUGGUGAGGUAAUGGCUCACCAAGGCGACGACGGGUAGCCGGCCUGAGAGGGUGACCGGCCACACUGGGACUGAGACACGGCCCAGACUCCUACGGGAGGCAGCAGUGGGGAAUAUUGCACAAUGGGCGCAAGCCUGAUGCAGCGACGCCGCGUGAGGGAUGACGGCCUUCGGGUUGUAAACCUCUUUCAGUAGGGAAGAAGCGAAAGUGACGGUACCUGCAGAAGAAGCGCCGGCUAACUACGUGCCAGCAGCCGCGGUAAUACGUAGGGCGCCAGCGUUAUCCGGAAUUAUUGGGCGUAAAGAGCUCGUAGGCGGUUUGUCGCGUCUGCCGUGAAAGUCCGGGGCUCAACUCCGGAUCUGCGGUGGGUACGGGCAGACUAGAGUGAUGUAGGGGAGACUGGAAUUCCUGGUGUAGCGGUGAAAUGCGCAGAUAUCAGGAGGAACACCGAUGGCGAAGGCAGGUCUCUGGGCAUUAACUGACGCUGAGGAGCGAAAGCAUGGGGAGCGAACAGGAUUAGAUACCCUGGUAGUCCAUGCCGUAAACGUUGGGCACUAGGUGUG
rnacentral:rRNA from 1 species